CCUACGGGAGGCAGCAGUGGGGAAUAUUGGACAAUGGGCGAAAGCCUGAUCCAGCAAUACCGCGUGUGUGAUGAAGGCCCUUGGGUCGUAAAGCACUUUCAAUUGUGAAGAUGGUUUAGGUGUUAAUAGCACGCUAAACUGACGUUAACUUUAAAAGAAGCACCGGCUAACUCUGUGCCAGCAGCCGCGGUAAGACAGAGGGUGCGAGCGUUAAUCGGAAUUACUGGGCGUAAAGAGCACGUAGGUGGAUUUUUAAGUCAGAUGUGAAAGCCCCGGGCCUAACCUGGGAACUGCAUUUGAUACUGGAAGUCUAGAGUAUGGUAGAGGGAAGUGGAAUUUCCGGUGUAGCGGUGAAAUGCAUAGAUAUCGGAAGGAACACCAGUGGCGAAGGCGGCUUCCUGGACUAAUACUGACACUGAGGUGCGAAAGCGUGGGUAGCAAACAGGAUUAGAUACCCUGGUAGUCCACGCCGUAAACGAUGAGAACUAGGUGUUGGGGGCCCGUCCCCUGGUACCGCAGCUAACGCAUUAAGUUCUCCGCCUGGGGAGUACGGCCGCAAGGCUAAAACUCAAAGGAAUUGACGG
rnacentral:rRNA from 1 species